GUUUGAUCCUGGCUCGAAUCAACGCUGGCGGCGUGCCUCAGACAUGCAAGUCGAACGAUUAAACUCCCCUUCGGGGGAGAUAUAAAGUGGCGCACGGGUGAGUAACACGUAGGUAAUUUGCCUUCGGGUGGGGAAUAACAGCCGGAAACGGCUGCUAAUACCGCAUAAUGCAGCGGCACCACAUGGUGACAGUUGUUAAAGCGGGGGAUCGCAAGACCUCGCGCCUGAAGAGAAGCCUGCGGCAGAUUAGCUAGUUGGUAGGGUAAUGGCCUACCAAGGCUACGAUCUGUAACCGGCCUGAGAGGGCGGUCGGUCACACUGACACUGACAUACGGGUCAGACUCCUACGGGAGGCAGCAGUCGGGAAUUUUGGGCAAUGGGCGAAAGCCUGACCCAGCAACGCCGCGUGAAGGAUGAAAUUUUUCGGAAUGUAAACUUCGCAAGAAUAGGAAGAAUAAGUGGGGGAUAAUACCCCCCAUGAUGACGGUACUAUUUGUAAGCUCCGGCUAACUCCGUGCCAGCAGCCGCGGUAAUACGGGGGGAGCAAGCGUUGUUCGGAUUUACUGGGCGUAAAGGGCGCGUAGGCGGCCACGACAAGUCACUUGUGAAAUCUCCGGGCUUAACUCGGAGCGGUCAAGUGAUACUGUUGGGCUAGAGUGCAGAAGGGGCAACUGGAAUUCUCGGUGUAGCGGUGAAAUGCGUAGAUAUCGAGAGGAACACCUGCGGCGAAGGCGGGUUGCUGGGCUGACACUGACGCUGAGGCGCGAAAGCUAGGGGAGCGAACGGGAUUAGAUACCCCGGUAGUCCUAGCCUUAAACGAUGAAUGCUUGGUGUCUCGG
rnacentral:rRNA from 1 species